CCUACGGGAGGCGGCAGUGAGGAAUAUUGGUCAAUGGACGAGAGUCUGAACCAGCCAAGUAGCGUGAAGGAUGACUGCCCUAUGGGUUGUAAACUUCUUUUAUAUGGGAAUAAAACGUUCCACGUGUGGGAUUUUGUAUGUACCAUAUGAAUAAGGAUCGGCUAACUCCGUGCCAGCAGCCGCGGUAAUACGGAGGAUCCGAGCGUUAUCCGGAUUUAUUGGGUUUAAAGGGAGCGUAGGUGGAUUGUUAAGUCAGUUGUGAAAGUUUGCGGCUCAACCGUAAAAUUGCAGUUGAAACUGGCAGUCUUGAGUACAGUAGAGGUGGGCGGAAUUCGUGGUGUAGCGGUGAAAUGCUUAGAUAUCACGAAGAACUCCGAUUGCGAAGGCAGUUCACUGGACUGCAACUGACACUGAGGCUCGAAAGUGUGGGUAUCAAACAGGAUUAGAUACCCCAGUAGUC
rnacentral:rRNA from 1 species